rnacentral:tRNA from 1 species
GGCUGUUUGGUCUAGUGGUAUGAUUCUUCCUUAGGGCGGAAGAAGUCCCGGGUUCGAUUCCCAGAACAACCC